UACGUAGGGUGCGAGCGUUGUCCGGAAUUAUUGGGCGUAAAGGGCUCGUAGGCGGUUUGUCGCGUCGGGAGUGAAAACCCAGGGCUUAACCCUGGGCUGGCUUCCGAUACGGGCAGACUAGAGGUAUGCAGGGGAGAACGGAAUUCCUGGUGUAGCGGUGAAAUGCGUAGAUAUCAGGAGGAACACCUGCGGUGUAGACGGCUUACUGGACGGUAACUUACGCUGAGGCACGAAAGCGUGGGUAGCAAACAGG
rnacentral:rRNA from 1 species